CCUACGGGCGGCAGCAGUAGGGAAUUUUGCGCAAUGGGCGAAAGCCUGACGCAGCAACGCCGCGUGAUCGAGACGCCCUUCGGGGUGUAAAGAUCUGUCAGUGGGGACGAAACUUGACGGUAACCACAGAGGAAGCACCGGCUAACUCCGUGCCAGCAGCCGCGGUAAUACGGGGGGUGCAAGCGUUGUCCGGAAUCAUUGGGCGUAAAGAGUUCGUAGGCGGCACGUAAAGUCUGGUGUUAAAGGCAGAGGCUCAACUUCUGUACGGCACUGGAUACUUGCGAGCUAGAAUGCGGUAGAGGUAAAGGGAAUUCCUGGUGUAGCGGUGAAAUGCGUAGAUAUAAGGAAGAACACCAGUGGCGAAGGCGGAUUACUGGACGAUAACUGACGGUGAGGCGCGAAAGCGUGGGGAGCAAACAGGAUUAGAUACCCCAGUAGUC
rnacentral:rRNA from 1 species